CAAAAGGGUGCUUGCCUCCUUAUGGUAAACGUGUCCUUAUUGGGCGCGUUGGGUAUGGUAAUCAAGACAUACCCAGCACGUAAUUUUUGUUACCGUGGGGCUGUUUUUUGGCAGUGAACCGAAGACGCCCCC
rfam:Dendroctonus ponderosae Seq01036620, whole genome shotgun sequence.